rnacentral:rRNA from 1 species
CCUCGACCGCAGCCCGCGGUAAUUCCAGCUCCAAUGGCNCGUAUAUUAAAGUUGUUGCAGUUAAAAAGCUCGUAGUUGAAUUUCGGGGUCAGUAGGUUGGUCGUGCCACCGGUACGUACUGGUCUCACUGAUUCCUCCUUCCUGAAGAACCGUAAUGCCAUUAAUUUGGUGUUGCGGGGAAACAGGACUGUUAC